GAUGAACGCUGACAGAAUGCUUAACACAUGCAAGUCUUUGGCGAAGCUGUGCUUGCACAGCCUAGCCAAGGCGGACGGGUGAGUAACGCGUAAGGAACUUGCCCUGCAGUCAGGGAUAACAGACGGAAACGACUGAUAAGACCUGGUAAAGUCAGGCGGCCUCAUGUCCAGCCUGAUGAAAAGAGAUGCUGCAGGAGAGCCUUGCGUCCUAUUAGCUUGUUGGUGGGGUAACGGCCCACCAAGGCGAUGAUAGGUAGCCGGCCUGAGAGGGUGGACGGCCACAAGGGGACUGAGAUACGGCCCUUACUCAUACGGGAGGCAGCAGUGGGGAAUAUUGGACAAUGGGGGCAACCCUGAUCCAGGAAUUCUGGGUGCACGAUGAAGGUUUUGGGAUUGAAAAGUGGUUUCAGCAGGGAAGAAAAAAAUGACGGUACCUGAAGAAGAAGCGACGGCUAAAUACGUG
rnacentral:rRNA from 1 species